GAUGAACGCUGGCGGCGUGCCUAAUACAUGCAAGUCGAGCGAACAGACGAGGAGCUUGCUCCUCUGACGUUAGCGGCGGACGGGUGAGUAACACGUGGAUAACCUACCUAUAAGACUGGGAUAACUUCGGGAAACCGGAGCUAAUACCGGAUAAUAUAUUGAACCGCAUGGUUCAAUAGUGAAAGACGGUUUUGCUGUCACUUAUAGAUGGAUCCGCGCCGCAUUAGCUAGUUGGUAAGGUAACGGCUUACCAAGGCAACGAUGCGUAGCCGACCUGAGAGGGUGAUCGGCCACACUGGAACUGAGACACGGUCCAGACUCCUACGGGAGGCAGCAGUAGGGAAUCGUCCGCAAUGGGCGAAAGCCUGACGGAGCAACGCCGCGUGAGUGAUGAAGGUCGUCGGAUCGUAAAACUCUGUUAUUAGGGAAGAACAAAUGUGUAAGUAACUAGGCACGUCUUGACGGUACCUAAUCAGAAAGCCACGGCUAACUACG
rnacentral:rRNA from 1 species